rnacentral:rRNA from 1 species
GAGAGGAUGAUCAGCCACAUCGGGACUGAGACACGGCCCGAACUCCUACGGGAGGCAGCAGUGGGGAAUAUUGGACAAUGGGGGCAACCCUGAUCCAGCCAUGCCGCGUGUGUGAAGAAGGCUUUCGGGUUGUAAAGCACUUUCAGCGAGGAGGAAGGCUCUAAAGCUAAUACCUUUAGGGAUUGACGUUACUCGCAGAAGAAGCACCGGCUAACUCCGUGCCAGCAGCCGCGGUAAUACGGAGGGUGCAAGCGUUAAUCGGAAUUACUGGGCGUAAAGCGCGCGUAGGUGGUUGAGUAAGCGAGAUGUGAAAGCCCCGGGCUUAACCUGGGAACGGCAUUUCGAACUGCUCGGCUAGAGUGUGGUAGAGGGUAGUGGAAUUUCCUGUG